GAUGAACGCUAGCGGCAGGCCUAAUACAUGCAAGUCGAGGGGCAGCACGAGUAGCAAUAUCUGGUGGCGACCGGCGCACGGGUGCGUAACACGUAUACAAUCUGCCUUUUACAGGGGGAUAGCCUUUCGAAAGAGAGAUUAAUACCCCAUAACACAUGAAAUAGCAUUAUUUUAUGUUGAAAGCUCCGGCGGUAAAAGAUGAGUAUGCGUCCUAUUAGCUAGUUGGUGAGGUAACUGCUCACCAAGGCUACGAUAGGUAGGGGAUCUGAGAGGACUAACCCCCACACGGGUACUGAGACACGGACCAGACUCCUACGGGAGGCAGCAGUAAGGAAUAUUGGUCAAUGGAGGCAACUCUGAACCAGCCAUGCCGCGUGCAGGAAGAAGGCCCUAUGGGUCGUAAACUGCUUUUAUACAGGAAGAAACGACUCUUGCGAGAGGCAUUGACGGUACUGUAUGAAUAAGCACCGGCUAACUCCGUGCCAGCAGCCGCCGUAAUAC
rnacentral:rRNA from 1 species